CACGUAGGGGGCUAGCGUUGUCCGGAAUCAUUGGGCGUAAAGCGCGCGUAGGCGGCCCGGUAAGUCCGCUGUGAAAGUCAAAGGCUCAACCUUUGAAUGUCAGCGGAUACUGCCGGGCUAGAGUCCGGAAGAGGCGAGUGGAAUUCCUGGUGUAGCGGUGGAAUGCGCAGAUAUCAGGAGGAACACCGAUGGCGAAGGCAGGUCUCUGGGCAUUAACUGACGCUGAGGAGCGAAAGCAUGGGGAGCGAACAGG
rnacentral:rRNA from 1 species